GUGGGCGUAGCUCAGUUUGGUAGAGCCUCGGAUUGUGGUUCCGAUUGUCAUGGGUUCGAGUCCCAUCGCCCACC
rnacentral:tRNA from 1 species